AAUUCAUGAUGGCAUUGUUGGGCUGGCUGUAGCAGGAGCUGCCAAAGAAAUGGGAGUUACUGUCAGAAGAUUUCAUGCCAGGGUGUGGUGAACACUAGUUACAAGCAUUUGCCAAGCAGAAUGGCUACUCAAGCCAGUAGCCUUUAUUCCAAUAACAUCUUGAAAAUAUUAAAGCUGUUUCUCCUGAGAAAGAAUAUUUUCACUUCGAACAAAAGAGGUUAUUGAUCAUGUCAUUAGAAGAAUUUUGGUAAUGAAGGACAUUCUUUACUGCCUCCUCACGGGUUCAUUGACUUAAAAUAUUUUGUCCGAAGGAUCAUCUUCUAUUGAACAUCUAUUUUCUUUGACUAAUGUUGGGCAAUUUGGAUACAAAUGUUAAUGUUUUUAUUACAAACUUCCUGAAAUGAUAACCCAACAGAAACUAAACUGUGCUGUCCAAGAGCAAGACAUCUUUCUACACUGGGCUUUGCCUUGAUUGGAGAAAUUCACACUGUACAUUGAUUUGCUCAGAGCUAACCUGGGUAUAUUUAACUAAACAUUUUGCAAGUGAUGACAGAAUGUGUCUCUGAGUAAAACAUCAUAUUAUCUUGGAUGAUCUAGUAUUUUCCUAAAGAGGGAAAAACAUUUCCUUAAACCACCAACACAUAUGGUCAAAGAGACUAGUACUGGGAGCAAUAAUAUUUUCUCCCAAGGAAGUAUUGUAGAACUCUCUGUGUGGUCUCUGCAUCUUUUAACAAUAUUCAGAUGCAACACUGUGGUCUGUAUUCCUACUAAAGCAGUAAAGGUUGUGAGAAGUCAGUGGGGAAUUUAUUUUGAUGAACUAUUUCUCUAUAUUUGCCCAAGUGGAAUAUUUUUUUUAAUGUAAAAAAAUGUUGUUUGGCACUCCCAUAUGUGUUUGCUGGAUCCUGGGGUCCCCACUUCAUCCUCAGGUUGACAAAGAUUCUAUUAUUCUAAAACCAGUUUUCUGGCAAAAACGUUGUAUACAAGUUCUGCGUGUAAAAGCAUGUGCAGGAAAUGCCUCCUACUGCCAUGGGUGUCAGUGACAUAGCUUCAAC